rnacentral:rRNA from 1 species
AUUGAACGCUGGCGGCAGGCCUAACACAUGCAAGUCGAACGAGCGGCGGACGGGUGAGUAAUGUAUGGGGACUGCCCGUUAGAGGGGGAUAACUACUGGAAACGGUGGCUAAUACAGCAUACUGUCGGAUAACCCAUAUGGGAUUAGCUAUUGGUUAAGGUAAGGGCUUACCUAGGCGACGAUCCCUAGCUGGUCUGAGAGGAUGAUCAGCCACACUGGGACUGAGACACGGCCCAGACUCCUACGGAGGCAGCAGUGGGGAAUAGUGCACAAUGGGCUCAAGCCUGAUGCAGCCAUGCCGCGUGUAUGAAGAAGGCCCUAGGGUUGUAAAGUACUUUCAGUCGGGAGGCGUUACCGACAGAAGAAGCACCGGCUAACUCCGUGCCAGCAGCCGCGGUAAUUC